rnacentral:misc_RNA from 1 species
GAUGAAGAACGUAGCGAAAUGCGAUACUUGGUGUGAAUUGCAGAAUCCCGCGAAUCAUCGAGUUUUUGAACGCAAGUUGCGCCCGAAGCCAUUCGGCCGAGGGCACGUCUGCCUGGGUGUCACGCAUCGUUGCCCCCCCAAACUCCGGUUCGGGCGGGGCGGAAGUUGGCCUCCCGUGCGUGCCUGCGCGCGCGGUUAGCCCAAAAGCGAGUCCUCGGCGAUGAGCGCCACGACAAUCGGUGGUUUUUUUACCCUCGUUCCUCGUCGUGCGUGCCCCGUCGCCCGAACGCGCUCUUGCAACCCUUACGCGUCGCCGCGGUGGCGCUCCCAACGCGACCCCAGGUCAGGCGGGACUACCCGCUGAGUUUAAGCAUAUCAAUAAGCGGAGGA